ensembl:lncRNA
CCUCUAUUGUAUGGUGUAGGUUAGAGUUUUCAGAGAAACCACUCAUCAUUAUUCUCCUGGAAUUGGUUGUCUGGUGCGAAGACACAGAAGAUAGCCAAGUAAAUCAGCAAGAACCCGUUAGGUAGUGAUUAUCGCUAUUGGGUGAAGUUUAAAUGGUCGGUGACAUGUGACAGGAAAUGGCAGGGGUAGGACAGCAAGCUGGGGUUUGGGAGAUGACCCUCUGAGGUCCUGCAUGAAAAUUAACCCAGUCCUGAAGGUGCAGAGGCAGUCGUAAGAGGUGCGGGUUCAGCAGGUGGAAAGCCUGACACGAGCGAGUGGAAGGAGCAGAAGGACCUAGGCUGGAUGAAGCAACAGGAGGAAAGGUUCUCAGCUGAGACACGUGAUCAUUCCCUUACAUCUGUGCUGUGUAUCAGACUCCAGAGGCCCCCCGGAGACCCUUCCCCCAUCCAUACCACGGACACCCAGGGAGGCAGAGCAGGCACAAUCCAAGAUGGCGCCUCCUUGGCAGAUGAGGGAGCUGAGCCUGAGAGGGGAGAGAGAAAAGUGGGACUUGACUUUCUCACUCUGCACACCUGCAUGCUCUAAAUGGCCCUUCGGCCCUUCGUGGUGUCGCCUGACUUUGAGGAGGCAUUUACGCAACUAAGACCUGGAACUGUGGAGCUCCAUGAUGGUCGGCACGUUCCCUUGUGGCCAACUCCGUGCCCUGUGCUCCUCUUCAUCUUUCUCCAAGCCCCAGACAGGAGACGGUGAAAUCCAAACCAGGCUAUUAAAUGUUAUGAAACUAAGUUGCACCUUGCGACUGCUGGGUUAGAACUCAGAAUAAAAGCAGAUGCUAAUG